CCUACGGGGGGCAGCAGUAGGGAAUCUUCCACAAUGGGCGAAAGCCUGAUGGAGCAACGCCGCGGGGGUGAAGAAGGUCUUCGGAUCGUAAAACCCUGUUGUUAGAGAAGAAAGUGCGUGAGAGUAACUGUUCACGUUUCGACGGUAUCUAACCAGAAAGCCACGGCUAACUACGUGACAGCAGCCGCGGUAAUACGUAGGUGGCAAGCGUUAUCCGGAUUUAUUGGGCGUAAAGGUAACGCAGGCGGUCUUUUAAGUCUGAUGUGAAAGCCUUCGGCUUAACCGGAGUAGUGCAUUGGAAACUGGGAGACUUGAGUGCAGAAGAGGAGAGUGGAACUCCAUGUGUAGCGGUGAAAUGCGUAGAUAUAUGGAAGAACACCAGUGGCGAAAGCGGCUCUCUGGUCUGUAACUGACGCUGAGGUUCGAAAGCGUGGGUAGCAAACAGGAUUAGAUACCCCAGUAGUC
rnacentral:rRNA from 1 species